CUAAAUUUAGUGUAAGGCAUAUGAAAUUUUCUCUUUCAAGGUAGCUCUUAGCUAAUUUAGA
rnacentral:tRNA from 1 species